rnacentral:tRNA from 1 species
AUUAGCUCAGUUGGCAGAGCACCUGACUUUUAAUCAGGGUGUCCGGGGUUCAAAUCCCCG